rnacentral:rRNA from 1 species
GUCUCAGUUCGGAUUGUAGGCUGAAACUCGCCUACAUGAAGCUGGAGUUGCUAGUAAUCGCGAAUCAGCAUGUCGCGGUGAAUACGUUCCCGGGCCUUGUACACACCGCCCGUCACACCAUGAGAGUUGGCAAUACCCAACGUACGUGAUCUAACCCGCAAGGGAGGAAGCGUCCUAAGGUAGGGUCAGCGAUUGGGGUGAAGUCGUAACAAGGUAUC